CCUCCUGGGCUGUGAGUGCCAACCCAAAGGCAGCUGGGAAAGGCAGCAACAACACAAGAGCUGGCCGCUCUGCGCUCAGCACAGACCAGCAAUAACCCCACGAAGACUGAGAUUUCUGAGUCUAAGAAUAACUGUUGGAGCUAAAAACCAUUGAGGACCAUCCAAGUUUCCACUUCAUAGCUUUGGGAUUGAGACUGGAAUGGGAAAAAGUAUUUGCCCGAGGCUCCAUCCCAUACUUUGAGGGACCCUGAAGGCUGUUCAUCAAGCUCCUCCUACACCUCCUGCAAACAGCCACCUCCGACCACACUUGGGAAGCAGGACCUGAAGAGGGCUGUCCAACCCUGGAAGCCGGCUCAGGACUGUUUAGGAUAAGAAUUCCAGGAUCCUGGGGAGCAACAUUUAGAGGAAGAGCUGGCAGUUCUGGAAACUUUUUCUGGCUCCUCAGACAACCCUGGCAAUAAUGGGGGAGAGAGAAGACCUUCUCCAGGCACUUUCCGCUGACCUGCAGCCAUGGGAGGGAGGGAACCCUUCCUCUGGAGCGAGUGGCCUGAGGGCCCAGUCAGUGCAGGGAGCUCCCUCAGUCCCUAAGCCAGGCCUGUGGCUCCUCUGACGCAGAGAACGGCAUCGCGCCCCUCCCAGCUCUUCAGAGGGCCUCCUGCUGCCUCAGAGGCCCGGGCCACCUCCUGCUCCAGGGCCUGGAGCUCCUGGGAAAUCCGGAGGCUGAGCCCUUCAGUCUGGAGGCAGGUGCUGCUGCUGCAUGUCGAGGCGGAGCUGAGGCGGUGGGCCUCACCCUGGGGUAGGAGAAGGGGAGGAUCUGAGAUGGAGCCCAAGAGGAGGGAACUCACGAGUGGGGGCUCCUGCUGAUGGGGCUCAACCCCAGGACAGAGCC
rnacentral:lncRNA from 1 species